rnacentral:rRNA from 1 species
UACGUAGGUGACAAGCGUUAUCCGGAUUUAUUGGGCGUAAAGCGCACGCAGGCGGCUCUUCAAGUCUGACGUGAAAUCUCUCGGCUUAACCGGGAGCGGUCGUUGGAAACUGAAGGGCUUGAGGCGAUGAGAGGGGUGUGGAAUUCCCGGUGUAGUGGUGGAAUGCGUAGAUAUCGGGAGGAACAUCAGUGGCGAAGGCGACUACCUGGCCUGUUCUUGACGCUGAGGCGCGAAAGCUAGGGGAGCAAACGGG